CACAAACGCUCUACGAUUCCUCUCUUCAUUCUGCACCAGAGGAAUCGUAGAAACGCACCAUCCCCGACAAUGGCCGCUGGUAUGAAGCUCGUGAUCUUCGGCCUCGCUGUCAUCGCCGUUCUUGUCGAGAGCGCAGCCGCCGCAGACGCCCCUGCACCGAGCCCCACCUCCGGUGCGUCCAUCGCCGCCCCUGGGGCUGCCAUCGCCUCCCUGACCGCCCUCGCCGCCGGCUUCCUUUUCUGCUGAGUUCGGACAUGGUUUGAGUGAUUUUAUUUGUUUAUAUUUGAUGUAUUUAUAUUUGUUGUGAUGGAGGUGGUUUAUAUGGUUUCAUUUGUAAACAUUCUCUUCUUUUCAGAAUAGAAGAAUAACACGGUUUCAUUUA
rnacentral:misc_RNA from 1 species